CAGGGAGACAACAAAAUGUUUAAUAUUAUUAUUUUGUCACCUUAGGUCGAUCGGUAUCUCACGUUUUUAAUUUAUUAAGAAUUUCAUUUCCUAAGUUUUUCUAGGUCACACCCAUUAUUUUCCUGGGCCAUUAGCUCAGGUGGUUAGAGCGCACCCCUGAUAAGGGUGAGGUCCCUGGUUCAAGUCCAGGAUGGCCCAUAUCUCUAUGUUGGGGGUAUAGCUCAGUUGGUAGAGCGCCUGCUUUGCAAGCAGGAUGUCAGCGGUUCGAGUCCGCUUACCUCCACUGAUUACCACCUCUUCCAUAACUGGUAGUAAGGAAAUUUUUGAGUUGUGAUCAAAUUCUGAAAGAAUCUAGCUUCCUAAUGAAAUCAUUAAGAUGCUGGACUCAUUGAAUUAAUUUCAUUGUUUUCAGAGAACCUUGACAACUGCAUAGAUUAUUUUUAAAGACAUUAAGCAUCUUUAAUGAUGCAGAUUUAUUAUUUGUGCGAAUGCAUUAAUAACAAUUCUAUUAAGCUGAUGCUUCAAUUUUUGAAGUUAUU
rnacentral:tRNA from 1 species